rnacentral:rRNA from 1 species
UACGGAGGGAGCUAGCGUUGUUCGGAAUUACUGGGCGUAAAGCGCACGUAGGCGGCUACUCAAGUCAGAGGUGAAAGCCCAGGGCUCAACCCUGGAACUGCCUUUGAAACUAGGUAGCUAGAAUCUUGGAGAGGUCAGUGGAAUUCCGAGUGUAGAGGUGAAAUUCGUAGAUAUUCGGAAGAACACCAGUGGCGAAGGCGACUGACUGGACAAGUAUUGACGCUGAGGUGCGAAAGCGUGGGGAGCAAAC